CCUACGGGAGGCAGCAGUGGGGAAUAUUGGACAAUGGGCGCAAGCCUGAUCCAGCCAUGCCGCGUGAGUGAUGAAGGCCCUAGGGUUGUAAAGCUCUUUCGGCGGGGACGAUAAUGACGGUACCCGCAGAAGAAGCCCCGGCCAACUUCGUGCCAGCAGCCGCGGUAAUACGAAGGGGGCUAGCGUUGCUCGGAAUCACUGGGCGUAAAGCGCACGUAGGUGGAUCGCUAAGUCGAGGGUGAAAUCCUGGAGCUUAACUCCAGAACUGCCUUCGAUACUGACGAUCUUGGAGUCCGGGAGAGGUGGGUGGAACUGCGAGUGUAGAGGUGAAAUUCGUAGAUAUUCGCAAGAACACCAGUGGCGAAGGCGGCUCACUGGCCCGGUACUGACACUGAGGUGCGAAAGCGUGGGGAGCAAACAGGAUUAGAUACCCUUGUAGU
rnacentral:rRNA from 1 species